UAAAUCCACGCGGACGAAGUCGCGGGCAUCAGCUAACACCUAGUACUGAACAAUAUGUAGUUUCGAUGAUUGCGGCUAAACAUAAACCGUAUUAGGUACCACAUUCAAGUCACUAUUAAUAAAUGGUUUAUGUGAAAAACUUAGAGAAUUAAUACUCGAACAUCACAAACACAUUCCAAAAAAUCUCCCAUUCUUCAUUUUAAAUAAGAUACCAUCAAAAAUACCUUUUUUUAUUCAAUAAAAGUAGAUUAUUAUCGAGCAGGACACCCGGACGUCAAGAGUCUUAAAUCCGACCGGCCUAUGAGAAACAACCCUGUUGGAAAGUGGACGCCGGUCUUACUUUCUCGC